AUGGUAUUCUUCUCUUGGUUGGAGCAGUCACGUGUGGAUAAUCCUGUGUUGAAGUUGGCUGGGUACAUGAAACUUAUCAAGCUUGGUAAAAACCAUCGUGCCCGAAUUUCUUAUAGUACUAUACUGCUCUUUGAUUUGGGGUCAUUAGGUGUUGUUUCAAUGAUAUGUGAAUGGUUGGCGAAUUCUUUUAACCUCGUUUUUGAGGCACAUAUGUGGGAUCUACCAUCGGAAGUAGAUGCCAUAGUUGCUUUGCAAUCAUUUGAUGAUGUUUUCUGUUUGAGUAAUGCUUUUUUUUUGCAGGCACUGGUAAACCUGUGGUUCUUUGGUUAG
rnacentral:rRNA from 1 species